UGCUACAGGGAGGGUGAUGAGAAGGUGAGGGUAAGGGUGAGGGUGAGGCUAGCUAGCUUUAACAUUUAUUGGUGAAUCUUCCUUUCCCAGAUUUGUAGCGGUGGGUUGGGUUUCCUUUCCCCUCAAUCUUUCUUUCUUGACGUAUAUAUAUAUAAAUUAUAUCUUGUCCUUUGUGUGGACGGGGGAAGGAAGCUGGUGCCUGAUGGAAGCAUAGCUGCCUUGAUUAGCUCUACCUGCUCCAAAUGAUUACUGUGCUCUCCUUCCUUCAUCCUUUAGGCUUACUGUACUUCAAAUUUCAGCUUUCAACUUUCAACUUUCAUCAAGAUAAAAAAGGAUUGCAAUGCAACCUCUUUGGGCUUGGCCUGGCGUUGCUUUGCUUUACGCAGUUAGCUAGGCGGCUACAACCAUUUCCAAGUUCCUAUAUUUAUAUAUCUUCACUUCACUUGCGGAUAUCAUAUCAGCCAUCAGAUUUGGUUAUUCUACUUCAAGAUUUGGUUAUUUUCAACUAUGUUUACUUAAGGCCACAUAGCUAUAAGCUUUAAGCUAGCUAUAGGUUGGUUUCUUCAAUACAAUGCUGCUAUGGAUGGCAUGGCAAGGCUCAGCUUAUGAAGAUACUUAAUUAAGGUCUCUGCUUUGGUUGAAGAAAAAUGAAAAUGAACCCGAGGAUCUAGGGUGUGAUAUUUCUGGGAUGUGCAGCAGGUACAAUCGCACAAUUACAAUACGAUAAUGUUGCGAACAAAAGAAAAUUGCAGUUGAUUGCAACUUUUCAGUUAUGAGUGACCAAGACACUCUGAUGCAAAUUAUUAGAGCACACUUACCUAUUUGGAAAAA